CCUACGGGUGGCUGCAGUGAGGAAUAUUGGUCAAUGGGCGGGAGCCUGAACCAGCCAAGCCGCGUGAGGGAAGAAGGUACAGCGUAUCGUAAACCUCUUUUGUCAGGGAACAAAGGCGGGGACUAGUCCCCGGAUGAGGGUACCUGAAGAAAAAGCAUCGGCUAACUCCGUGCCAGCAGCCGCGGUAAUACGGAGGAUGCGAGCGUUAUCCGGAUUUACUGGGUGUAAAGGGCGUGCAGCCGGGAAGACAAGUCAGAUGUGAAAUCCCGCGGCUCAACCGCGGAACUGCAUUUGAAACUGUUUUUCUUGAGUACCGGAGAGGUCAUCGGAAUUCCUUGUGUAGCGGUGAAAUGCGUAGAUAUAAGGAAGAACACCAGUGGCGAAGGCGGAUGACUGGACGGCAACUGACGGUGAGGCGCGAAAGCGUGGGGAGCAAACAGGAUUAGAUACCCCUGUAGUC
rnacentral:rRNA from 1 species